rnacentral:rRNA from 1 species
GGGCCCGCACAAGCGGAGGAGCAUGUGGUUUAAUUCGAUGAUACGCGAGGAACCUUACCCGGGCUUGAACGUGAGACGAAUGGUCAGGAAACUGGUCAGCCUACGGGCGUCUUGCGAGGUGCUGCAUGGUUGUCGUCAGCUCGUGCCGUGAGGUGUUAGGUUAAGUCCUGCAACGAGCGCAACCCUUACCCGUAGUUGCCAGCGCGUCAUGGGCGGGGACUCUACGGGAACUGCCUACGCAAGUAGAGAGGAAGGUGGGGAUGACGUCAAAUCAGCACGGCCCUUAUGUUCGGGGCUACACACGUGCUACAAUGGCAUGUACAGAGGGCAGCGACCGCGCGAGCGGCAGCCAAUCCUCAAAUCAUGUCUCAGUUCGGAUUGGAGUCUGCAACUCGACUCCAUGAAGUUGGAUUCGCUAGUAAUCGCGCAUCAGCCAUGGCGCGGUGAAUACG